rnacentral:rRNA from 1 species
UACGUAGGGUGCGAGCGUUGUCCGGAAUUAUUGGGCGUAAAGGGCUCGUAGGCGGUUUGUCACGUCGGGAGUGAAAACUCAGGGCUUAACCCUGAGCCUGCUUUCGAUACGGGCAGACUAGAGGUAUGCAGGGGAGAAUGGAAUUCCUGGUGUAGCGGUGAAAUGCGCAGAUAUCAGGAGGAACACCGGUGGCGAAGGCGGUUCUCUGGGCAUUACCUGACGCUGAGGAGCGAAAGUGUGGGGAGCGAACAGG